GCCACAUAAUUGAGUUUUACUUUCUUUACUAUCAUGUACUAACUAUUCAUCUCAUAUUAUUCAAAACAGAUUAUUGAGCACCUCAUGAGUGACGUGGAGUACGUUCUACACAGACCUAUCUAUGCUAGCAAUGAAGGCCGAACGUUGCAACAAAUUCAUAGAACUGUGCAAGUAAUAGAGAAUAAAGUCAUUGAGAAAGAAUACACGGACGAAUACAAGUACUUCAAGCCACUUGUUGACGGUCUAACUGACGUUGAACACAAUACAAGCCUGACCAACAGAACCCUGCUUCGUGUUGUCAAGUGUUUGGAGGCUAAUAAGUUCGUUCUCCCCGAUAUAUCAGAUGAAGAAAUUGAG